GCUUACGGCCAUAUCAGCCUGGGUACUCCCGAUCUCGUCUGAUCUCGGAAGCUAAGCAGGGUCGGGCCUGGUUAGUACUUGGUUGGGAGACCGCCUGGGAAUACCAGGUGCUGUAAGCA
rnacentral:rRNA from 1 species